rnacentral:rRNA from 1 species
GCACGAAAGCGUGGGGGAGCAAACAGGGUUAGAUACGCUGGUAGUCCCCGCCCUAAACGAUGGAUGCUAGUUGUUGCCUUGCUUGUCAGGGCAGUAAUGCAGCUAACGCAUUAAGCAUCCCGCCUGGGGAGUACGGUCGCAAGAUUAAAACUCAAAGGAAUAGACGGGGACCCGCACAAGCGGUGGAGCAUGUGGUUUAAUUCGAAGAUACGCGAAGAACCUUACCUAGGCUUGACAUUGAUAGAAUCUACUAGAGAUAGUGGAGUGCCCUUCGGGGAGCUUGAAAACAGGUGCUGCACGGCUGUCGUCAGCUCGUGUCGUGAGAUGUUGGGUUAAGUCCCGCAACGAGCGCAACCCUCUUCCUUAGUUGCUAGCAGUUCGGCUGAGCACUCUAAGGAGACUGCCUUCGUAAGGAGGAGGAAGGUGAGGACGACGUCAAGUCAUCAUGGCCCUUACGCCUAGGGCUACACACGUGCUACAAUGGGGCGCACAAAGAGGAGCAAUAUCGCGAGGUGGAGCAAAUCUCAAAAACGUCUCUCAGUUCGGAUUGUAGUCUGCAACUCGACUACAUGAAGCUGGAAUCGCUAGUAAUCGUGAAUCAGCCAUGUCACGGUGAAUACGUUCCCGGGUCUUGUACUCACCGCCCGU